rnacentral:rRNA from 1 species
GACAGAGGGUGCAAACGUUGUUCGGAUUUACUGGGCGUAAAGGGCGCGUAGGCGGCAAUUCAAGUCACUUGUGAAAUCUCCGAGCUUAACUCGGAACGGUCAAGUGAUACUGCUUUGCUAGAGUGCAGAAGGGGCAACCGGAAUUCUUGGUGUAGCGGUGAAAUGCGUAGAUAUCAAGAGGAACACCGGAGGUGAAGACGGGUUGCUGGGCUGACACUGACGCUGAGGCGCGAAAGCUAGGGUAGCAAACGGG